UCAUAGGUUGAGAAGCACUGUGGUAUAAUGUAUAGAUCAGAUUGGUUACGCAGACAUUUUCCAACGGAGUACGACUUGGAUGUAUUAACACUAAAAAGAUUUGUUCAAAAUGUGGUAUGAGAUAUUACCAGUAAUUGCUAUACUAGGUGUUGCGAUCAUGGUACCACAAGUAGUUCCAUACCACGUAAAUGAUCUGUUAUUUGGAUGCCCAUUCCGUAGAAAGCUUAGUACACAUUGGGAUUAUACAAUGUUCGAGAGAGACGAUGCAUUAACUGGCUCAGUUUAUAAGAAAGCAGGUUUGGAGAACAUUCCUGAUAAAUAAAUACAUACAUUUAUUUCACAAUAUAGGAUAUCAUUGUAGUAUGUAAAUAUAUGAUUAUAAGUAAUAUAAUAAACUCGAGUUCAGUUUAUCC